rnacentral:rRNA from 1 species
UUGGUUAAGUUAGAAAGGGCGCACGGUGGAUGCCUUGGCACUAGGAGCCGAAGAAGGACGGGACUAACACCGAUAUGCUUUGGGGAGCUGUACGUAAGCGUUGAUCCAGAGAUUUCCGAAUGGGGGAACCCACUAUCUUUAGUCGGAUAGUAUCCUUACGUGAAUACAUAGCGUAAGGAAGGCAGACCCAGGGAACUGAAACAUCUAAGUACCUGGAGGAAGAGAAAGAAAAAUCGAUUUCCUGAGUAGCGGCGAGCGAAACGGAAAGAGCCCAAACCAAGAAGCUUGCUUCUUGGGGUUGUAGGACACUCUAUACGGAGUUACAAAAGAAAGUUAUAAAUGAAGCGGUCUGGAAAGGCCCGCCAAAGACGGUAACAGCCCGGUAGUUGAAAUGGCUUUCCCUCCAGAGUGGAUCCUGAGUACGGCGGAACACGUGAAAUUCCGUCGGAAUCCGGGAGGACCAUCUCCCAAGGCUAAAUACUCCCUAGUGACCGAUAGUGAACCAGUACCGUGAGGGAAAGGUGAAAAGCACCCCGGAAGGGGAGUGAAACAGUUCCUGAAACCGUGUGCCUACAAGUAGUUAGAGCCCGUUAAUGGGUGAUAGCGUGCCUUUUGUAGAAUGAACCGGCGAGUUACGAUUUGUUGCAAGGUUAAGCGGAAAAAGCGGAGCCGUAGCGAAAGCGAGUCUGAAUAGGGCGCAUAAGUAACAGGUCGUAGACCCGAAACCAGGUGAUCUACCCAUGUCCAGGAUGAAGGUAAGGUAAUACUUACUGGAGGUCCGAACCCACGCACGUUGAAAAGUGCGGGGAUGAGGUGUGGGUAGCGGAGAAAUUCCAAUCGAACUUGGAGAUAGCUGGUUCUCUCCGAAAUAGCUUUAGGGCUAGCCUCGAGGUAAAGAGUCAUGGAGGUAGAGCACUGUUUGGACUAGGGGCCCUUCUCGGGUUACCGAAUUCAGAUAAACUCCGAAUGCCAUGUACUUAUACUCGGGAGUCAGACUGCGAGUGAUAAGAUCCGUAGUCGAAAGGGAAACAGCCCAGACCACCAGUUAAGGUCCCCAAAUAUAUGUUAAGUGGAAAAGGAUGUGGGGUUGCUUAGACAACCAGGAUGUUGGCUUAGAAGCAGCCACCAUUGAAAGAGUGCGUAAUAGCUCACUGGUCGAGUGACCCCGCGCCGAAAAUGUACCGGGGCUAAACAUAUUACCGAAACUGUGGAUGAACCUCUUCGGAGGUUCGUGGUAGGAGAGCGUUCUAAGGGCGGUGAAGUCAGACCGGAAGGACUGGUGGAGCGCUUAGAAGUGAGAAUGCCGGUAUGAGUAGCGAAAGAAGGGUGAGAAUCCCUUCCACCGAAUAUCUAAGGUUUCCUGAGGAAGGCUCGUCCGCUCAGGGUUAGUCGGGACCUAAGCCGAGGCCGAUAGGCGUAGGCGAUGGACAACAGGUAGAGAUUCCUGUACCAGUGCUAAUUGUUUAACCGAUGGGGUGACACAGAAGGAUAGGGAAUCGCACGAAUGGAAAUGUGCGUCCAAGCAGUGAGUGUGAGAAGUAGGCAAAUCCGCUUCUCGCGAAGCA